rnacentral:rRNA from 1 species
AACKACUCUCGGCAACGGAUAUCUCGGCUCUCGCAUCGAUGAAGAACGUAGCKAAAUGCGAUACUUGGUGUGAAUUGCAGAAUCCCGUGAACCAUCGAGUUUUUGAACGCAAGUUGCGCCCGAAGNNNNNGGCUGAGGGCACGUCUGCCUGGGCG